GCCCAAGGCCAGCACAAAGCGUAGCUGGUGGAGCCCUUUUGGCAGCUGUCCCAGUGAGCAUAUUUCUGAGCUCAGCUGGACAGGAGUCCUGGUCCUAAAUGUGCUUUGAUUGCUUUGCUCCUCUCCAAAGGCUGUUUCUCCCAGCUGUAAGCAGAGUUUGCUGAAGCAAGAAGCAGGUUGCUAAGCCUGAUUUGGAUGCUGUUUGGUCCUUAGUGGAGCUGAUGGAACUCAUCUUGUUAAAAGCCAGCUGAGCUGAGACCAUGCACAGUCUCUUGGUGUCUUUUCUUCUGUUGCCUCUCUGAUCCCUGAGCAAAGAGCACAGUCUUAGCAACCCAGCCUCUGCAGGGAAGUCCAAGAAAGGCCAAACCUCCAGGAUCAUGCCGUACUUGUUGGAGGGGACAGGGAAGAACCAUCUGCCUCCAGGAUUCUUACUCCAGCAGUGGCAAACACUGAGGCCUGGGGAAAAGGAGCAGAAGUUGGCCAAUAUAGAGAUGCCUCCCCAGGCCUCCAAGACAAGUUGAAAAUGGUGGAUUUUGUGAGUUGGCCAAAAUUUACUACGAAA